rnacentral:rRNA from 1 species
CCCUUAGAUGUCCUGGGCCGCACGCGCGUUACACUGAUGCAUUCAACGAGCUUAUAACCUUGGCCGAGAGGCCUGGGCAAUCUUGUUAACGUGCAUCGUGAUAGGGAUAGAUUAUUGAAAUUAUUAAUCUUGAACGAGGAAUUCCUAGUAAACGCAGAUCAUCAAUCUGCAUUGAUUACGUCCCUGCCCUUUGUACACACCGCCCGUCGCACCUACCGAUUGGAUGGUCCGGUGAAGCCUCGGGAUUGUGGUUCAUGCCGCUUUAUUGUGGCGUGACCGCGAGAACUUGUCUAAACCUUAUCACUUAGAGGAAGGAGAAGUCGUAACA